CGUCAGGUUUAAAUUGUAUUUGCGAGUAAUUCUAUAAGUGGACUUCUUACUGGAAAAGAUGACAACUUUUGAAUUUUAUAACGUCUUGGAAGAAUAUUUGUCGCCUAAAAAUUUUAACUCCAUUCGAAUGAAGAGGGAGCGAAAUGAAAUGCGACUUAUGUCUGUGAACUUUAUAAUGGAUACGUAUAGCUUUUUGAUGCCCGGUGGUAAGCAGCUUUCCAACUGGCUGAACAGAUGCCAGUCUAUCCGAAUUCUGAGACACAACUAGAUGUCCUUUUCUUCUGCUUUUAAGAUUUCCAAUUUAGGAUGAUGUGCAGUUCAUGUUUGAUUUGCUAUUUCUACAGUUACAGUGAAGUAGAAGAGUCCGGCCAUGUUAUGGGGCAGCAGUUAAAGAAGGAAGGCGAGAUGUGGGCCAUGUUGAAGUAGUGGGUGACCCUCCUGUCCACACUUCUAGAAUUCUCCUUCUCAACAUCUGGUCUGGAUCUGCUGUGCCUUUGCCAAGUGAUCACGAGGUAUUGAACUAUUUUGUUUUUUUCUUCUUCUGAAAACUGUCUCAGUCUCAUUACGCUGGCUGUCUGUCUCACAUAGAAUUGAUUUCAAGGCUCUAUUCAAUAAUUAGAAGGCUUUAAGUAUUUUAGACCCUGCCUGUAUUUUCUUUUGUCAAACUUUGCUUUGCUUUUUAUUCCAAGAUCAACCAUAAAAACUGGCAGCUUUCUGUACUCUGGAAUGCUUUGCCAGUAGAGAAGUGCCAGGCUACAAAUGUCAAGCAUUUUGAAAAACUUCAACAAGCCCACUUAUUUGUGUUUUUCUUAAUUACUUGCAUUGCUUAUAAUAGAUUAGAAAUGGUUUGUAAGUUCUGCACUGGGUACUAACUUAUGCUGUGUUUCUCUGUUGUCUUUUUCUAGUUUAUUGCAAUGGUGCCCAAAAGUGAUAUAGAGUAAAUGUUAAGGGACAGAUCAGGAAAAAUAUCAGUUUAAAUAGAACACAUUUUUUAUGGAAUAUUGCUGGAUAAUAACUCUUUGACUCUGAGCAGUAUCUUGUUCAUAAAGCUAAAGUAGCAUUUUUCCAUUUUUGACAAAUUUAAUUAUUCACUUUUACUGUGUUCAAAACCUUGGCUAACAUUUUUUUUAAUACCAAGGUAAAAAUCUGUAAAUAUGUUUGUGUUCCCUUUCUCUAAUAGAUUUUCACAACUCCCCCUUGUUGGCCAUUUUCAUUGUAUUUGUGUUCUAGUUAAAUGCAUUUCCCUUUUAUACAUCUUUAUGAUUACUGCAUUUUCUACUCCUAUA